rnacentral:tRNA from 2 species
GCCGAUGUGGUGGAACUGGUAGACACGCUGUCUUGAGGGGGCAGUAGCGCAAGCUGUGCCGGUUCGAGUCCGGCCAUCGGCACCA